UCACCCGUACGGAGAUACGAAACGACGACGCCUCCUGCAGCAGCCCGUCCCUGCUUUCAAACCCGUACAAGGCAGAGAUGACUGAUCUCUGGUAUGGGCUUUCGUCAGUGACAACCAUCUCCAGUUAUAUAGCCAUGGAUGCAUGUUGUGGAGCUCCUUUGAUCAAAGCAAGGGGAGAAGGUAAGGUCCGGCCUCUCGAAGAGGGUUACUGUUCGUGAUUGAGAUUACACUGAGACAUUCACCUAUAGCGACACAGCGUUCAUAUACCUGCAACACGUAGUCCCAAUGGCGAAGGAAAAAUACUAUGUUGUCCUAGUUGGGCGUCGGCCAAGAAUUUAUCUUACAUGGGAUGAUGCGCGAGUCGAGGUGGAGGGAUACUGUGGGGGCGGCCAUUGAGUGUUUAAGAAUUAGAGAGAGGCUACGGCAUGCUGGAAUAGUUUUUUCAGUCUGGCGAGUGCACCGCCGACACAUGGACGUGGAUCUCCCUCGGGAGAUGUGGCCACAUCAGUGGACGCAGUUGAUGUCCAUCAUUCUGCAACGCUGUCUAUCCAACACACAGCCCAAGCCACUAUUUCUAGGACCACGUCUACUGAUGAUCUCCCCCCUUCAGCCGCAGAGAGAUUUUUGGCACUCCUGAUUGGAAUUAUGGUUGUUUUUUUGGCCUUGUAUAUUACGAUUAAAUUAUAAAUAUUGUUGGGAAUGUUUUACUAAAACUAAUACUUUGAACAGCUUGUUUAAUUUGGAUGAUUUCAAGACAUUAGUAUAUUCAAGGUAGGUGUUGUAGUAUUAGUUGAUAUCAUAAUCAUCCAUACAGAUUUGAUAUAGUACUUCCACACGUAUGCACAAAUUUCAUACCAAAUGUUGCGUAUAGAUGAGAUCAUGUGGUGUGGCCGCAAAUGAUCCAGUAAAACAUAUGGACGGUUCAGAUGAAACAGAUACAUCAUUGUGGGUCCCACAGAGCACCGGCCACUAGCUACGGUGGACUAGUUUGGGUGUGGUAGCCAACCCGGUUUGGACCAGUCAAAGCCGUACGUGCGAACGGCUGAUCCCACAGUCUGCAAGGGACCACUCGGACGUCCAAACGCACAGGGUGGAAUUGCAGU